rnacentral:rRNA from 1 species
UACAGAGGUCUCGAGCGUUGUUCGGAUUCAUUGGGCGUAAAGGGCGCGUAGGCGGCGGGGUAAGUCUGGUGUGAAAUCUCGGAGCUCAACUCCGAAAUUGCACUGGAUACUGCUCUGCUAGAGGGCUGGAGAGGAGAUCGGAAUUUACGGUGUAGCGGUGAAAUGCGUAGAUAUCGUAAGGAAGACCAGUGGCGGAAGGCGGGUCUCUGGACAGUUCCUGACGCUGAGGCACGAAGGCCAGGGGAGGCAAACGGG